rnacentral:misc_RNA from 1 species
CCGAGUUUUCAACUCCCAAACCCCAUGUGAACUUAUACCUAACUGUUGCCUCGGCGGGGUCUACGCCCCGGUGCUUAAGCCCGGAACCAGGCGGCCCGCCGGAGGAACCACCAAACUCUUCUGUAUUCCCUCUCUACGUAUUUCUUAGCAGCUCUGAGGCAAUAAUUACAAAUGAAUCA